AACGUAGGUGGCGAGCGUUAUCCGGAUUUACUGGGCGUAAAGGGUGUGCAGGCGGGUCGUUAAGUGGUGCAUGAAAGCCAUAGGCUCAACCUGUGGAGGCUGUGCCAGACUGACGGUCUAGAGUGUGAGAGAGGGCGAUGGAAUUCCGGGUGUAGUGGUGAAAUGCGUAGAGAUCCGGAGGAACACCAGAGGCGAAGGCGGUCGCCUGGCUCACAACUGACGCUGAGACACGACAGCAUGGGGAGCGAACGGG
rnacentral:rRNA from 1 species